UCCGGGGUAGCUCAAUUGGCGGAGCAGCGGACUGUUAAUCCGACGGCUGUGGGUUCGAGUCCCACCCCCGGAG
rnacentral:tRNA from 1 species